UUUGAGUGGAUGCGAAAAAUUGAGGCAGCUUCAUCCAUCCAUUGGUCUUCUAAGAAAGUUGACUUUUUUGAAUUUAGAAAAAUGUACAAGUCUUAUCAAGAUAAUACAAUUAAGAGAGAACCUAAAUCUUGAAAGACUAAAUCUUCGAGGAUGUAUACAACUCAAGGAGUUUAAUAUAUCCAUUGGUUUUAUGCAAAAGCUUACCCGUUUAGAUUUGAGUGGGUGUGAAAAUCUAGUAAGCUUAACCGAUAGCAUAUUGUGCCUAAAUUCUCUAGAAUAUUUGAAUCUCUCUCUGGCUGUCAAAAAUUGUUUAAUAUAUCAAGGAAUGAAGAGCAAAUGAAGAAGCUUUGUAUAGAUGAAUCUCCGAUUUGUUCGCACUCAACAUCGUCCAUCAUGAAAAGGUGGUUUAUGUCACCUUUACAUUUGUUGCAUUCUAGAGCACGUACAGGUUCAGUUUUAAAUGGUUUGGUUUGGUUCGGUUUUUUUGCACACCCCUACCUACACUUGCUUGUAUGCUUGAACUUCAUCUAAAUUUCUGCAAUUUAGUUGAAAUACCUGAUGCUAUUGGAAAUUUACAUUUCUUAGAAAUCCUAAAUUUAAUGGGAAACAAUUUUUCCACACUGCCUAGCCUCAAGGAGCUUUCCAAGCUGCAACUUUUAAAUUUAAAGGACUGUAGGCAGUUGAAAUAUUUGCCUAAUCUUCCUUCACGAACUGACUUGUCAUCUAAAAGGUCGCUCCCAGAGUCUUUUUCUAGCAAAAAAGACCCAUGGGCAUUUGAGAGAUUUUACGACUACAUGGAAGCAGGAUUAAAUACUUUUGGUUGUCCAGAAUUAAUUGAAUUGGAACGUUGCACUAGCACGGCUUUAUCAUGGACGCUACAAAUUCUACUUCAGGUUCACUACCAAUACAUACUUCCGUCUCUGUGGAACAUUCCUUUUCCUAGCAUCAUUUCAAGUAUUAUUGGAGGAAGUGAAAUACCUAGUUGGUUCAACAAUCAUCGCGAAGGCAUGGGCAGUAUAAUAACCAUAGAUGAAUCUCCCCUUAUGCACAAAGGCAAUAAUUGCAUUGCUCUUGCUUGUUGUGUAGUAUUUGGACCUCCUGCUUCUCGAAGAAAAGCUCCUCCAAUUAUACACUCACUUAAUCAUGUUUCUGUUCCCUUUCUUUGCGCUGAAGAUCGAAUUACGGAAGAUCACUUGUGGUGGUUCUAUGUUACAAGUGGAAGCCAUAUUUGGUCAACCAAGUAUGAAAAUUUGAAAUUGCAAUUUCACAUAAUAAGGGAGUCGGACAUUGAAAGUUGGAGUUUUCACGGGAAGAAAUAUGGGUAUCGUUGGGUAUAUGAGAAGGACUUAGAAGAAUCAAACUUGACAAUGAUAUGCAGCCGGUGAGCUUGGAAGCACAACUUUUUGGCAAUUGAAGAAAACAAAUAGCAACUUCAUUUCAGCUUCACUUUCAUCAUAUAGAAGGAUUGGAGGCAUAAUUCAAUAUGGAUGCAAGAUUUGCAGCAUUACACCAAACAAAGAUGCACAGUAGAAUUCAAAUUCACAAUGACUUCAGGGAUGUGCAGUCCAAUCUUUUCUAUGAAAGCUCUACUAAUGUUAAAAUUAGUGCUACUUUGUUUGAAUAAACUCAUGAUAGAAGAAAUGAUCAUGUUCAUGGUGGAACUUAACAUUUUCAUGAGUGUCCUUUCACUCAACUUAUUAAGAUGACUCUUGGCAAAUGGAGAACGGAUGCUCCAAAUUCUCAUUGGAAAACAGAAUCAAGUUGUUGCAUAAUCAAUUUCCACCUCUUGAACCUGUAGGAUCCUUCUGUUGAUUUUGAUCCAGGCAGAUUUUCCCCUGUGGUCUAACAUGUGAGGGCUUUACAGUUUCAAAGAAAAGUAAAAACAAAAAAGAAUGAAGUGACAUUGCCCAACACUCUCUCUGCUGCAACAUUAUGAGAACAGGAUGAAAGACUGACAAGAAGACCACUAUAUCAAUGUUUGUUUGAUUCAUUAAGUUAAAUUUAUGACUAAAUUGUAAUUUGAUUAUUAUAUUGACGUAGUGGCAGCUGGUCUCUCUCUACUCUUGUUUACAAAAUGUAAUUUCACAUAAACCUUCUUUAACAACAUAGAGGAACAAGAACAAACGGAGUACAAAAACUGUUUUUAUUAUAAA